GACUACUUCAGACCUUCCUGCUCCUCACAGCUCCAACUCCAUCCCUCCUUGCUUGCUUAUCUUCCCCUUCACACAGAAAACCAGAAUCACCAGGGUCAGCCUCAUCACUUCAUGCCGGGACUUCACUGAUCCCUGUUUUCAACUUGACCUUGGAGGGCCCUCCGCCUAGCUGCCAGUGGUGCCUCUAAAACACAAACCUGCUCAUGUCUCCUGCCAAACACCUUUCACUGACCACCUGCCUCUUCCCUUGUAUCGUCCACUGCAGUAAGCAGUGUGUAAGGACCCCCUGGUUGGUGAGGGAAUUACACCUGUAAUUUGGAAAAGCUUUCCUAGUCCAUUUGAGUCACAGACUUUCAGGAUAGUCUUGUAAUGCUAGGCUCUUUCCUCCAUGACCCUUGAUUGCCCAGCUCUCCAGACCCACCUGCCAGCAUUCCUCACCUUGGACUUUAUGUCACACAACUACCCCACUUCUUCCACACACUUACCACCCUACUUCUUUGGACCUCUUAUUGCUCACCUUCCAAAACUCAGCUCAGCAUCAUUGCCCCGGAGGCCUAGGCUGGGUAAGUGGCCCCCACUCUGGGUAGUCCUAGCGUUCUGCACGACCUAAGUGCUUUGCCGAGCAGCCUGGUGGUCUGGCUGCCUCUUAGGAAGCCACCUGACUCUGGAAUGGGGAGCACAUAUCCCUACGUGGGCCCCACCCUUAGGUCCGACGAGCGAAUUCUGGGGUAGUGGGGAACAUCCCACUUCCUUCCUUCAGAGCACUUCCCACAAUAUUAAAGUGAUUUAUUGUGUUUGCACCCCCACGGCACUAGAAGCGUGUUGACAGCAAGGACUGCGUCUUGUUCUUCACACAGCCUAGCACAUACCUUCGGUGCAACUGAACCGAAAGGGAACUUGGCAAACAACAGCCGGAGUUUAAUGUUUUCUUGGUCUUUGUACCAGAACAGAUGGUCAUAAAGACAGUUUUAUGAAAUGUAAUCAGGGCAAGUGGAAGUGCCUGUAGCUGCAU